rnacentral:rRNA from 1 species
AAAGGCCCUUCGGGGUACUCGAGCGGCGAACGGGUGAGUAACACGUGAGUAACCUGCCCUUGGCUCUGGGAUAGCUCCGGGAAACCGGAAUUAAUACCGGAUAUGACUUCGGCCGACAUCGGCUGCGGUGGAAAGAUUUAUCGGCCAGGGAUGGGCUCGCGGCCUAUCAGCUUGUUGGUGGGGUAACGGCCUACCAAGGCGACGACGGGUAGCCGGCCUGAGAGGGCGACCGGCCACACUGGGACUGAGACACGGCCCAGACUCCUACGGGAGGCAGCAGUGGGGAAUAUUGCGCAAUGGGCGAAAGCCUGACGCAGCGACGCCGCGUGGGGGAUGAAGGCCUUCGGGUUGUAAACCCCUUUCGGCAGGGACGAAGCGAAAGUGACGGUACCUGCAGAAGAAGCGCCGGCUAACUACGUGCCAGCAGCCGCGGUAACACGUAGGGCGCAAGCGUUGUCCGGAAUCAUUGGGCGUAAAGAGCUCGUAGGUGGUUUGUCACGUCUGCUGUGAAAACUCGGGGCUUAACCCCGAGCUUGCAGUGGAUACGGGCAGACUAGAGGUAGGUAGGGGAGAAUGGAAUUCCCGGUGUAGCG